rnacentral:hammerhead_ribozyme from 1 species
AUCCAGAAGACGAGUUCCAGGCAGGACGAAACACGUGUCUUAGAU